rnacentral:rRNA from 1 species
CCUACGGGAGGCAGCAGUGAGGAAUAUUGGUCAAUGGGCUUACGCCUGAACCAGCCAAGUCGCGUGAGGGAAGACUGCCCUAUGGGUUGUAAACCUCUUUUGUCAGGGAGCAAUUGGCGCUACGUGUAGCGUUAUCGAGAGUACCUGAAGAAAAAGCAUCGGCUAACUCCGUGCCAGCAGCCGCGGUAAUACGGAGGAUGCGAGCGUUAUCCGGAUUGAUUGGGUUUAAAGGGUGCGUAGGCGGAAUGCCAAGUCAGCGGUAAAAUCGCGGGGCUCAACCUCGCUCCGCCGUUGAAACUGGCGUUCUUGAGUGGGCGAGAAGUAUGCGGAAUGCGUGGUGUAGCGGUGAAAUGCAUAGAUAUCACGCAGAACUCCGAUUGCGAAGGCAGCAUACCGGCGCCCAACUGACGCUGAAGCACGAAAGCGUGGGUAUCGAACAGGAUUAGAUACCCUAGUAGUU